rnacentral:rRNA from 1 species
CACUAUCGUUAACUGAAUACAUAGGUUAACGAGGCGAACCGGGGGAACUGAAACAUCUAAGUACCCCGAGGAAAAGAAAUCAACCGAGAUUCCCCCAGUAGCGGCGAGCGAACGGGGAGCAGCCCAGAGUCUGAAUCAGCUUGUGUGUUAGUGGAACGGUCUGGAAAGUCCGACGGUACAGGGUGAUAGUCCCGUACACCAAAAUGCACAGGUUGUGAACUCGAAGAGUAGGGCGGGACACGUGGUAUCCUGUCUGAAUAUGGGGGGACCAUCCUCCAAGGCUAAAUACUCCUGACUGACCGAUAGUGAACCAGUACCGUGAGGGAAAGGCGAAAAGAACCCCGGCGAGGGGAGUGAAAAAGAACCUGAAACCGUGUACGUACAAGCAGUGGGAGCACCUUCGGGUGUGACUGCGUACCUUUUGUAUAAUGGGUCAGCGACUUAUAUUCUGUAGCAAGGUUAACCGUAUAGGGGAGCCGCAGGGAAACCGAGUCUUAACUGGGCGUUAAGUUGCAGGGUAUAGACCCGAAACCCGGUGAUCUAGCCAUGGGCAGGUUGAAGGUUGGGUAACACUAACUGGAGGACCGAACCGACUAAUGUUGAAAAAUUAGCGGAUGACUUGUGGCUGGGGGUGAAAGGCCAAUCAAACCGGGAGAUAGCUGGUUCUCCCCGAAAGCUAUUUAGGUAGCGCCUCGUGAACUCAUCUUCGGGGGUAGAGCACUGUUUCGGCUAGGGGGUCAUCCCGACUUACCAACCCGAUGCAAACUACGAAUACCGAAGAAUGUUAUCACGGGAGACACACGGCGGGUGCUAACGUCCGUCGUGAAGAGGGAAACAACCCAGACCGCCAGCUAAGGUCCCAAAGUCAUGGUUAAGUGGGAAACGAUGUGGGAAGGCACAGACAGCCAGGAUGUUGGCUUAGAAGCAGCCAUCAUUUAAAGAAAGCGUAAUAGCUCACUGGUCGAGUCGGCCUGCGCGGAAGAUGUAACGGGGCUAAACCAUGCACCGAAGCUGCGGCAGCGACACUAUGUGUUGUUGGGUAGGGGAGCGUUCUGUAAGCCUGCGAAGGUGACCUGUGAGGGUUGCUGGAGGUAUCAGAAGUGCGAAUGCUGACAUAAGUAACGAUAAAGCGGGUGAAAAGCCCGCUCGCCGGAAGACCAAGGGUUCCUGUCCAACGUUAAUCGGGGCAGGGUGAGUCGACCCCUAAGGCGAGGCCGAAAGGCGUAGUCGAUGGGAAACAGGUUAAUAUUCCUGUACUUGGUGUUACUGCGAAGGGGGGACGGAGAAGGCUAUGUUAGCCGGGCGACGGUUGUCCCGGUUUAAGCAUGUAGGCUGAUUGUCCAGGCAAAUCCGGAUAAUCAAGGCUGAGGUGUGAUGACGAGGCACUACGGUGCUGAAGUAACAAAUGCCCUGCUUCCAGGAAAAGCCUCUAAGCAUCAGGUAACAUUAAAUCGUACCCCAAACCGACACAGGUGGUCAGGUAGAGAAUACCAAGGCGCUUGAGAGAACUCGGGUGAAGGAACUAGGCAAAAUGGUGCCGUAACUUCGGGAGAAGGCACGCUGGUGUGUAGGUGAAGCCCCUGCGGGUGGAGCUGAGACCAGUCGAAGAUACCAGCUGGCUGCAACUGUUUAUUAAAAACACAGCACUGUGCAAACACGAAAGUGGACGUAUACGGUGUGACGCCUGCCCGGUGCCGGAAGGUUAAUUGAUGGGGUUAUCCGUAAGGAGAAGCUCUUGAUCGAAGCCCCGGUAAACGGCGGCCGUAACUAUAACGGUCCUAAGGUAGCGAAAUUCCUUGUCGGGUAAGUUCCGACCUGCACGAAUGGCGUAAUGAUGGCCAGGCUGUCUCCACCCGAGACUCAGUGAAAUUGAACUCGCUGUGAAGAUGCAGUGUACCCGCGGCAAGACGGAAAGACCCCGUGAACCUUUACUAUAGCUUGACACUGAACAUUGAGCCUUGAUGUGUAGGAUAGGUGGGAGGCUUUGAAGCGUGGACGCCAGUCUGCGUGGAGCCAACCUUGAAAUACCACCCUUUAAUGUUUGAUGUUCUAACGUUGGCCCCUUACCGGGGUUGCGGACAGUGUCUGGUGGGUAGUUUGACUGGGGCGGUCUCCUCCCAAAGCGUAACGGAGGAGCACGAAGGUUAGCUAAUCCUGGUCGGACAUCAGGAGGUUAGUGCAAUGGCAUAAGCUAGCUUGACUGCGAGCGUGACG